rnacentral:lncRNA from 1 species
UUCCAAAAGCCUUGAUCCAAAAUACUAGUGGGAGAAUCCCUCUUCAAGUUUUCAACUUUCCAAGAAUUAGACUCUAAAGAUUGCAAAAAUGGGUGUUGAAGAAGUUGUUUAGCUGUCCAUCGUUCUUUUGGGUCUUUUAUCAAACACUUUGCUAAAAAUUCUCUAGCAUCGUUGGAUAAACAAUUUGGGAAUUGAGGCACAUCCCCUGAAUAACCAAUUCUAUACAGAGCCGAAACAGGAUCCUUCAUAUCAGUCCAAGGAGGUGACCCUGCUCUUUUGGGUCUUUUUUCAAACACUUUGCUAAAAAUUCUCUAGCGUCGUCGGAUAAACUAUUUGGGAAAUGAGGCACAUCCCCUGAAUAACCAAUUCUAUACAGAGCAGAGACAGGAUCCUUC